CACCCGAUAGCACAAGGUGUGCGUCUGCUACUCUUGAGUAAAUGUGUCUGCAGUCUACGCAGAAGUUCCCCGUUCGAUUCGGGGUCGGGUGA